rnacentral:rRNA from 1 species
AUGAAUCACCUAGUGUGGAACUGCCGGGGGGUGGGGAACCGCCGGACAGUUCGAGACCUGUUGGCCCUCUCUAGGGCCAACCACCCCAAGCUCGUCUUCCUGUGUGAGAUGAGACAGACUGCGGUGAAAGUGGAAACGAUCAAAUGGAGACUCGGACUACGUGGUUUUCGUGGAGUGGAUGCUGAUGGGAAAAGUGAUGGACUUGGUUUGUUCUGGGACGAUUCCUUACAAGUCAUAGUACUGGAAGCAUGUCAAAGAUUCAUUGAUGUACGGGUAUAUGACUCGGAAGUGGAUAAACAAUAG